GGACCCCGGCACGGCCGGUUCGGGGGUGCGGAGGGGGGAGCGCGCCGCAGGAGCUUGGGCCAAGGGCACGCGGGUGCGGGGAGGGGGCGGGGCUGGCGGGCGCGGACCCUCCCCCUUCCCCAGGACCCUCCCGACGCCCGGGGCUCCCGGAGGCCACAGGGUCCGAAUCGACCUCAAGCUUGACCCGAAAGCGGGGCCUCCGGGGAAUGCCCGGCCAGGGGUCAGGGCGGUGUCGGCCACGUGAAUGUGGGAGGGGGUGGCUGGGCAGGGCCGGGGCAGAGCCGCUUUGGUGGUCUCCUGCCCACCCCUCCUAAGCCAAGCCCCCACUCCCGUCUCCAGGGCUCAGGACCGGGGAAGCUGAGUCCUAGGACAGGUGGGAGGCUUGGGAUGCAGCGGGACCUCCCCAGACAGCACCAGGAGAGGGUAAGGCCCGUCCCUGAGCCAGGCUCUCAGGUAGGAGGCAAGGCCCGCAAACCCCGGCUGACCCCCCAGCCCAGGCUCUGAGCUGGCCCCACACUGGCGUUUUGUGGAGGAGACCCUAGAAUCCAAGGGAGACGUCAGCCAAGCCACCGGGCACAGGGGCCGAACUUCCCACCCCCCUGCAGAAUGCAAGCACCCAGAAGGCAGGCAUUCCGCCUGAAAGGCAGGGUUCACCACUUGUUCCCAGAUAUCGGACAUACAGUUGGUGCUCAGUAAAUGUUUGUGGGGACGUUUAUCUCAGGAAAUCCAGAGGACCAGAACCAGGCAGGACCCGACACUGGGCCGGUGGCAGCUGUCUGCAGGGCGUGUACCGGACACAUAACCUGCUCCGAGACAGAGCUGGGACCUGCUUUCACUCAUCACUCCGGAGACGCUUGUGACGCAGCAAGCUUGAUAAACCCUGAUCUGAACGGCACUCGCCCUGACUUGGACCUGGCCCUUUCCUGGAACCACAGAUUGGAACUUAAGUCACUGAAGUGCUUUCUGGCCGCCUCAUGGAGAGAAAGGCAUGUUCUCACUCAGGCAUCACCCCGGGAACACGGCAUGCCAUGUUUCAGCAUCUUAGUGUCCCUUGAGCAGACAGGGUUAUGCAGUGAUGGCAAGCAACCCCCAAACCUCAACGGCACAAAUGACACGGUGAUUUCUCACAGGAUUACGUAUCCACUGGGGUCACCGGGGAGUUCUGUUGACCAGAGUCACUCAGAGCCCCCGGCAAGAGUGCAGUGAUGGCCAGCUAAGAGGAGCGUUCGGGGUCCUCACGCUGUAAACGCCCCACUCCAAAUCGACCCCCGCUGUGUCCAGCAUCACCGGACAGAGACUGUCACACGGGCCCUGCGUGAACAGUGGGCUGGGAAGGGAGAUCCUGCCCCAGGCUCAGAAGAUGGGAGGACCGGGUCUUUGGGAGAAUCAAGCUCUCUCCAUCAGCACAGCAGCCUUCCAGCAAAUCGGGAUUUUAUUCCAAACUCGCCCCACGCCCCCACGUGCUGGGCUCCCCAGAGUAGCAAUGUAUGGUGCACGUUAAAUCAGACCCCAGUGCAACCGUUUCACAGAAGCUGGGACGAAAGCGAAACAUGACUGGGUGCUGCGCAUUUUGGUUUUGACAAGGGUGGAUCUGGCCUCCGCGUCCCCCUCCUGGCCCAAGAUCCUCUGGGCAUGGAGGGCAGAAAAGGGGGGGGGCUCCCCCAGGAGACCUGCGUACGGGCCGAUGUUUCGAGGGCCAAGUCUCCGCUGAGACUGGACCACAGACAUCCACUGGCAGCUCCAGUUCAGGCCCAGGAGACAACGUGCGGGGAACUGACACCCCGGAUUCUUCUUAAAUAACUGAAUCAUUAUUUGAACACUGGUCUGUUGGACUUUAAGGCCUGUGAUUUUUCCAGCACACAUACUGACACCUGAGGACGCAGACUUUCCUUGAUUGAACUCAAUAAUACACUAACCCCUUCCCUCCCCCU